rnacentral:rRNA from 1 species
AUUGAACGCUGGCGGCAUGCCUUACACAUGCAAGUCGAACGGCAGCACGGGAGCAAUCCUGGUGGCGAGUAGCGAACGGGUGAGUAAAGUAUCGGAACGUGCCCAGUCGUGGGGGAUAACGUAGCGAAAGUUACGCUAAUACCGCAUACGAGCUAUGGCAGAAAGCGGGGGAUCGCAGGACCCCGCGCGAUAGGAGCGGCCGAUAUCAGAUUAGGUAGUUGGUGGGGUAAAGGCUCACCAAGCCGACGAUCUGUAGCUGGUCUGAGAGGACGACCAGCCACGCUGGGGCUGAGACACGGCCCAGACUCCUAAGGGAGGCAGCAGUGGGGAAUUUUGGACAAUGGGCGAAAGCCUGAUCCAGUCAUGCGGCGUGCAGGAUGAAGGCCAUCGGGUUGUAAACUGCUUUGGUACGGAACGAAAAGGUUUGGCCUAAUAAGCUGAGCUCAUGACGGUACCGUAAGAAUAAGCACCGGCUAACUACGUGCCAGCCGCCGCAGUAA